rnacentral:rRNA from 1 species
UUGGGUUAAGUCCCGUAACGAGCGCAACCCUUGUCCUUAGUUUACCAGGCACGUUAUGGUGGGCACUCUAAGGAGACUGCCGGUGACAACCGGAGGAAGGUGGGGAUGACGUCAAGUCAUCAUGGCCCUUACGGCCUGGGCUACACACGUGCUACAAUGGUCGGUACAAAGGGUUGCCAAGCCGCGAGGUGGAGCUAAUCCCAUAAAACCGAUCGUAGUCCGGAUCGCAGUCUGCAACUCGACUGCGUGAAGUCGGAAUCGCUAGUAAUCGUGAAUCAGAAUGUCACGGUGAAUACGUUCCCGGGCCUU